UUGGUCCAAAUUAACAUUUCCCUUUCCUAAGCAUAUUUAAACAUUUUCUGGGAUAAUGGUACAGUAGCUGCAUUCUAAUCCCUUUCUAUUUCUAGAAUACUGUAUCUAUGUUUGCAAAUGCUCUUUACAUAGAAUUUGCAAAUGUCUGUCCUUCUGGUCUGUCUCUAUUGAGGACUGUUGUAGUGUCCAUAUCUAUUGAGCUGACAGUGCUGUCUGUUACACUUUCUAGUCUACUGUCAUCAAUAUUCGGGCAUAGUGAAUCAGAAUUUACAACGUCCUGAAUUUCUACUUCAGUUUCCUCCCUGUCUAUAGCCUCGGCUCCUGUUCCAUUAUUAUUUGUUUCCCACUCUUUCUGGAUGGCUGGUAGGCGUAGGCUUUCAAUUACGUAAAUUUUUUGGUAUUGUGUCACCCUUUUGUCAUAUCUAUGUCAAUGACAGAUGAGAAUAUUACAAAUCACAUCAUCAAAUUUGCAGAUGACACUAAGAUUUAUGGUAAUGGGAAGUGAAAAUUAUAUUGAAGCCAUACAAAGAGAUCUACAUGAACUCGACAAAGGGUCAGAAGACUUUCAAAUGCAAGACAAAUGUAGAAAAUAAAGAAAUUCCUAUUUAGUAUUGUGUUUAACCCAUUAAACUGAAAAUAAUUAAUGUAAUUAUUUUGUUAUGCCCAAAACACUGUGUAUACAUAGUGGUUUUAUUAAAUGUAUGUACUUUAUAACAAUCAGUUAACCACUGUACCUUCUGUAUAUUUUUAAAUAUACAGAACAGGGUUUUAAUAAUUGAUACAGAGUAUGUCCAUUUAAUAAGGCCAACUAACAUGCAAAGUGUUUCAGGCAUUACUGUACCCACCUUUGUUAAAAAAGACAAAACAUUUCACACACUGUAGGAUGAGUGCAGGACACAGCAGACUUAGCCUGCUAGUGGCUGUGGUGAUGGCAGUGCUGGGGAAGGGUGACGGAGAGGUGCUGACUGGAGAAAUAGACGUCGCCCCAGAUUCACUGCAGUGCCAACAAAAAGGGCCGACUCUCACGUGUGAUGCCAAGGAUGGUACCAUGGUUCACACCUUUUCUGGGGUUGUGCAGCAACCCUCCAUACAAGGGUUCCUUGUGUGAGGUGCCAUGGUGAGGAAGCCUCUGAAGAGCCACUCAUGGUUAAGCCCCAGAAAUAGAGCAUAUAGGAAUACUGAAAUGCCCAUUUUUUGGGACUCCUUGCUCAGUGGCUCCCUAUUUUACACAGCAUUUUACCUGCUAACCCAUGCAUUCUUAAGAUUUGCUCAGGUUACAGAGUGAAGGGGUCCCCCUUGUUGGAGUGGUUGAUUACAGCAGCCACACACCGAGUGAGCGUGUUUAGUGGCUUUGCAAGAAUAUACCACUUAAGUCACCAAUGUAUGUACCUUCAUAACCCAUUGUACCUUCUUAUAUACAGUAUAUAAAUAAAUGAAAGUGGCAA